CCUACGUGUGGCUGCAGUGAGGAAUAUUGGUCAAUGGGCGCUAGCCUGAACCAGCCAAGUCGCGUGAAGGAUGACUGCCCUAUUGGUUGUAAACUUCUUUUAUAUGGGAGUAAAGUGCAGUAUGUAUACUGCUUUGCAUGUACCUUAUGAAUAAGCAUCGGCUAACUCCGUGCAAGCAGCCGCGGUAAUACGGAGGAUCCGAGCGUUAUCCGGAUUUAUUGGGUUUAAAGGGAGCGGAGGCGGGUUGUUAAGUCAGUUGUUAAAGUUUGCGGCUCAACCGUAAAAUUGCAGUGGAUACUGGUAUCCCUGAGUACAUGAGAGGGAGGCGGAAUUCGUGGUGUAGCGGUGAAAUGCUUAGAUAUCACGAAGAACUCCGAUUGCGAAGGCAGCCUGCUGGACUGUAACUGACGCUGAUGCUCGAAAGUGGGGGUAUCAAACAGGAUUAGAUACCCCGGUAGUC
rnacentral:rRNA from 1 species